rnacentral:rRNA from 1 species
AACGAACGCUGGCGGCAUGCCUAACACAUGCAAGUCGAACGAGACCUUCGGGUCUAGUGGCGCACGGGUGCGUAACGCGUGGGAACCUGCCCUUAGGUUCGGAAUAACUCCCCGAAAGGGGUGCUAAUACCGGAUAAUGUCUUCGGACCAAAGAUUUAUCGCCUUUGGAUGGGCCCGCGUUGGAUUAGCUAGUUGGUAGGGUAAAAGCCUACCAAGGCGACGAUCCAUAGCUGGUCUGAGAGGAUGAUCAGCCACACUGGGACUGAGACACGGCCCAGACUCCUACGGGAGGCAGCAGUGGGGAAUAUUGGACAAUGGGCGAAAGCCUGAUCCAGCAAUGCCGCGUGAGUGAUGAAGGCCUUAGGGUUGUAAAGCUCUUUUACCCGGGAUGAUAAUGACAGGACCGGGAGAAUAAGCUCCGGCGAACUCCGU